rnacentral:lncRNA from 10 species
GAGCCUUGGACGGGGAAGCGGAAAAGGCUUAGCAGCUACUAAUGGGUUCUAUUAAUAGUAGUAGUGUUAGAAGCUGACAAUGACUGUUGGGCUUUUCCAAUGAAUACCAGAACACCAUUUCCUGCAGCCUGAAAAGAAGACAGUAUAAUUGUUUGGCAGCAAGAGACAGGAUCUCGCUGCGUUGCUCAGACUGGUCUCGAACUCCUGGGCUUAAGGGAUUCUCCUGCCUCAAUCACAGCCUCCCAAGUAGCUGAGAUUAAAAGUGCUCACCACCGUGCCAGCGAGUUCAGUUUUUGAGAUCUGUCCCAUUCCACCAAGGAUUUAAGGCUAAAGAUUUAAGUUGUGAAGAUGAUAAUGGAUUGACUCUAUGAAUGGCCACAUUUUUUUAUGCCUCCCUUUUCCCUUGUCCUCGGGCAGUGUCCUCCGACACUGACUCUGUGCUUGGCCCUGUGACUUGCUUUGGCCAAUGGUACAGCAGCAAACUUGAUGCAAACACAACUUGAAAAAGAAGAGGACAGCCAAGUCAUCCCAGCCAAGGCCACCCUGGACCAGCCAGCCUCUUGCCAAGCUGCCAGUGACCACAGAGUCCAAUUAACAACAGCCAGUCCUGGCCCAGGUCAGCACACCCAUGAGAAAGAACUUGCUAUCAUUUAAAGCCAUGGGUUUGGGGGUGGUUUGUUGCACAGCAAUAACUAACUAAUACAGAAACUUACAUUCUACAAAAAUGCUAUUAAUCAACAAGCAUAUUAAGAUGCAAUCUCGGCCUGGUGCAGUGGCUCACACCUGUAAACCCAGUACUUUGGGAGUCGGAGGCGGGUGGAUCACCUGAUGUCAGGAGUUCGAGACCAGCCUGGCCAACAUGGCAAAACCCGGUCUCUACUAAAAAUACAAAAAUUAGCUGCACAUGGUGGUGGCCG